rnacentral:rRNA from 1 species
UCUUUCGGGAAUGGAAAUGAAAUGAAAGUGGCGAACGGGUGAGUAACACGUGAGCAACCUACCUUACACAGGGGGAUAGCCGUUGGAAACGACGAUUAAUACCGCAUGAGACCACAGAAUCGCAUGAUAUAGGGGUCAAAGAUUUAUCGGUGUAAGAAGGGCUCGCGUCUGAUUAGCUAGUUGGAAGGGUAAAGGCCUACCAAGGCGACGAUCAGUAGCCGGUCUGAGAGGAUGAACGGCCACAUUGGAACUGAGACACGGUCCAAACUCCUACGGGAGGCAGCAGUGGGGAAUAUUGCACAAUGGGGGGAACCCUGAUGCAGCGACGCCGCGUGGGCGAAGAAGGUUUUCGAAUCGUAAAGCUCUGUCCUAUGAGAAGAUAAUGACGGUAUCAUAGGAGGAAGCCCCGGCUAAAUACGUGCCAGCAGCCGCGGUAAUACGUAUGGGGCGAGCGUUGUCCGGAAUUAUUGGGCGUAAAGGGUACGUAGGCGGUUUUUUAAGUCAGGUGUGAAAGCGUGAGGCUUAACCUCAUUAAGCACUUGAAACUGGAAGACUUGAGUGAAGGAGAGGAAAGUGGAAUUCCUAGUGUAGCGGUGAAAUGCGUAGAUAUUAGGAGGAAUACCGGUGGCGAAGGCGACUUUCUGGACUUUU